AAUCAGACACUGCAUUCAAAGACG
rnacentral:miRNA from 1 species